GAUGAUCAAGAGAGCCUGCCAAAGAGAACAAAAGAGGAACUUGGAAGAGUUGAACUCAAUCUACGACAGGAUCAGCUUUAGUCAACCUAGAGGACAGCAGACUUUGUAGAGUCAAGAGUUAGCAUCUGAUUUGUGCUUCACCAAUCUGAAGAAUCAGAAAGCAGCAGCUUUUGAUACCACAUCAGAGGCCAUGUCUAUUAACAGUACAGCUGAGAUGAGACAAGAAUGACUGACCUGAACUUUACAGGCCGGGGUAAGUGAGAAAACCCUUGCUAUCCUGAGGAAAAAUUCUCCCUUCCCAUGAUUCUGAGU
rnacentral:lncRNA from 1 species